rnacentral:lncRNA from 1 species
CUUCGAGCGGGAGGUUGGAUUCUGGCUGUGGCUGUGCUGUGAGCUCCACCGAGCUGAGCCGUGGGAUGGGACACAGGCUCAGCAGUGACUUGGUGCUUGCGGGGGGCGUGGCCUUUGUGCCGCAGUUGAAGCCUGAUGCACGGACCCCUAUGCUGCUUUCUCCUGGCCGUGUCAGCACGAAGCCAGUGGAUGUCACAGCCGUUCCACAGCCAGGAAGCAGCAGAUAUUUCGGAGAACCCUUCCAGACCACAGUCCACUCACUCCUGAAAUGACCCAGGGUUUGAGAGUCGGCUCCGGUGACAACGAGGUGUCUGGGCUGAGGAGCUGAGCCCGGGACAGCAGCAGGAGCCAGCAGCAGGAGCCAGGGCUGCUGUGCGCCCUGCUCAGAUUUUCAGAUUUGGAAGCAAUGGAGAGCAAAUGAUGUUUCUUAUAAGAUGGUCCACCAGAAGCCAGCUUCCCUAGUGAAAUGCUGCCUUGUCAGUGUCCUCUGUUAGUGAUUCCUGCAAACUAGAGACACUAAAUAGAUGCAGUUAGCAGCUUUGACCUGGCCUCAACUGCAGAAACCAACAAUACUUUCCCGGACUGAACUUCCUUCCUUUAGUGAAGUAACAAUCAGCAGAGAGCCACAAAUGACUGAGGACAUAAUACUCAUUUACUGAUUGUCACCAGUCACUGUGAUUAAACUAAUGCAUGUGAUUUCAAAUAAACCUUUUUACAACAGUAUUCAGAACAAUAGUUUAUUAAACUGUUUCUUAUAUACAAAGAUUUUAUUUGUCCAACAAUCAGCCUUCCAACAACAUCAAGCCCAGGCAAAAGCACAGGUAUAGAAAAUGAAGAACAGCAGCGUAUACCCAAGAGACCUCUGAAAACCCUUUGUUCCAACUCGAUGUAGCAGCCUUUAGCUGCUGGAAUCUGCUUACUGCAUAUUCUUCUGAGGCCCGAGACAGCGGCCCACAGGCUAUAGUCAGCUCAGUCAGAUGAGGCUUUUGCGGUAGGAAAGCAGGGCAGCGUGGCACCA